AGUGAACGCUGGCGGUAGGCCUAACACAUGCAAGUCGAACGGCAGCACAGUAAGAGCUUGCUCUUACGGGUGGCGAGUGGCGGACGGGUGAGGAAUACAUCGGAAUCUACUUUUUCGUGGGGGAUAACGUAGGGAAACUUACGCUAAUACCGCAUACGACCUACGGGUGAAAGCAUGGGAUCUUCGGACCUUGCGCGAUUGAAUGAGCCGAUGUCGGAUUAGCUAGUUGGCGGGGUAAAGGCCCACCAAGGCGACGAUCCGUAGCUGGUCUGAGAGGAUGAUCGGCCACACUGGAACUGAGACACGGUCCAGACUCCUACGGGAGGCAGCAGUGGGGAAUAUUGGACAAUGGGCGCAAGCCUGAUCCAGCCAUAGCGCGUGGGUGAAGAAGGCCUUCGGGUUGUAAAGACCUUUUGUUGGGAAAGAAAAGCAGCAGGUUAAUACCCCGCUGUUCUGACGGUACCCGAAGAAUAAGCACCGGCUAACUUCGUG
rnacentral:rRNA from 1 species